GUUCGUCUUCAGGGCAGGGUGUAAUUCCCGACCGGCGGUAUAGCCCGCGACCUGCGUGUGUACGCAGUUGAAUCUGGUGUAAUUCCAGGUGCCGACAGUAUAGUCUGGUAUAAAGAAGAUUUUC
rnacentral:ncRNA from 2 species